GACGAACGCUGGCGGCGUGCUUAACACAUGCAAGUCGAAUGGAAAGGCCCUGCUUGCAGGGUACUCGAGUGGCGAACGGGUGAGUAACACGUGGGUGAUCCGCCCUCCACUUCGGGAUAAGCCUGGGAAACUGGGUCUAAUACCGGAUAGGAGCCAUCUUUAGUGUGAUGGUUGGAAAGUUUUUUCGGUGUAGGAUGAGCUCGCGGCCUAUCAGCUUGUUGGUGGGGUAAUGGCCUACCAAGGCGGCGACGGGUAGCCGGCCUGAGAGGGUGGACGGCCACAAUGGGACUGGGAUACGGCCCAGGCUCCUACGGGAGGCAGCAGUGGGGAAUAUUGCACAAUGGGGGGAAGCCUGAUGCAGGGACGCCGCGUGGGGGAUGACGGCCUUCGGGUUGUAAACUCCUUUCGCUAGGGACGAAGCUUUUUGUGACGGUACCUAGAUAAGAAGCACCGGCUAACUACGUG
rnacentral:rRNA from 1 species